UCCGCCCAAACCAAACUCAUCGUCUGGCAACGCCAUGCCAGCGUUUCACAGAUUAUUAUUAUUAUUAUUAUUAUUAAUUUUUCCACAAAAAAAAAAAGAAAGAAAAUAAAACAAAUUCCAAUGGACGGACAGACAGACAGAGAUGAAUUUUUUUUUUUUUUUUUUUUACAAAAUAGAGAAUCAGCGUCUUGGUAUAAUCCGCCUUCUCUCGGAUUUUGCUUCAUAUUUAUUCAUUUAUUCGUUUUUUCUUUCGUUUUUUGGUCGAGUAGAGAGUCUCUGCUGCUUCUUUGAUCCUCAAACCCCUAUCUCUCUCAAUCUUUCUCUGUUUAUCUUUUCACAGCUUAUCUCUCUCGGAUUAUUGUUUGUUUUGGCAUGAACUCGUUUGGGUUGUCAAGUAUACGUUGAAGCAUAACUAAAUAUUUUUUGAGAGAGAUCACAGAAAGAGGUGUCCUGCUUUGGAUUAUCAACAAUGAAUUCUAAUUUGGCUUCUUCUCCUUCGUCUCGAGGGGUGGCCAAGGAUAAACCCAAGAGACUCUAUCAAGUCUGGAAAGGAAGCAAUAGAUUUUUUUGUGGUGGGAGAUUGAUAUUUGGUCCUGAUGUGGCAUCUAUGUUUCUAUCUACACUUCUUAUUGCUGGUCCUGCAAUUGCAUUUUGUAUAAAAACCUACUUGAAGAUCGUGGACAAAGAUACCAAACAUCCUGAUCAUUGGUAUCCUGUGUUAAUUGUGGGAUCCAUCCUCACUAUAUUAGAUUUAUCGUUUCUCUUCCUGACCUCCAGUAGAGAUCCUGGAAUAGUCUGUAGAAAUUCACGACCUCCUGAAUCAGAUGAAGCAUUGGAUAUGGCUACGCCUUCUAUGGAAUGGGUCAAUGGCAGAACUCCCCAUUUAAAACUACCUCAGACAAAAGAUGUUAUGGUAAAUGGCCAUACAGUGAAAGUUAAGUAUUGUGAUACUUGUUUGCUUUAUCGUCCUCCUCGUGCUUCCCAUUGUUCAAUUUGCAACAACUGUGUUCAGAGAUUUGAUCAUCACUGCCCAUGGGUUGGUCAGUGCAUUGGAAUACGUAACUAUCGGUUCUUCUUCAUGUUUAUAUCAACAGCAACUAUCUUGUGUGUAUAUGUCUUUGUAUUUUCUUGGGUUCACCUCCUGAGUAGAAAGCAACAUGUUUUGAAAGCCAUAUCGCAAGAUAUCCUUUCUGAUUUUCUCAUAGUCUACUGCUUCAUAGUUGUCUGGUUUGUCGGCGGACUUACAAUUUUUCACUCCUAUCUGAUUUGCACAAACCAGACCACUUAUGAGAAUUUCCGCUACCGAUAUGAUAAGAAGGAGAAUCCAUAUAACAAGGGGAUGAUAAGAAACUUUAGAGAAGUAUUUUUUACCAAGAUUCCACCUUCAAUGAAUAAAUUCCGAUCAUUUGUGGAGGACGGUGAAGACAUGGUGCCUGGAUCUGUAAUGCCGAACCUUGGGGAUGGAUUUGUGGACUCAAAAGAGAAAAUUGACAUCGAAAUGGGAGCUAAGCUUGCAGAAGACAGUAAUUAUUCCCUUCCAGAAAUUUUGCGCAAUUUGGACUAUGAUGAUGAUUCAGACGAUAAUUUAAAGACAAAGGAGGAAGAAGAAAAACCUUCUUUUGACCCAUUUAUUCCUGGUGAGCAAGAUGCAAAGGAUUUAUUGCAUAUGUCUAUUGUUGGAGAUGAAUUAAGAGAAUCUGUACAAGGUUCAAAUGUUAGAGAGGCAGAAAUAGAAUCUGCAUCAAGCUCAACAGAAACUGUGGAAGGUUCUAAUGCCGUUGAUGAAGUGAGAAAGUCUGUGGAAAGAUGUAGUGUUGCAGCUGAAGUAAGAGAAUCUGUACAAAGCUCUAAUUCUGAAUUCGAAGUAAGAGAAUCUACACACAGUUUCAAUUCUGAACCUGAAGUAAGAGAAUCUGCACAAAAUUCCAUUACUGAAGCUAGGAUGGGAGAUUCUACUCCUGGAGAUGAGACUAAUUCAGUAGAGGGAAUCAAAUUAUAGUCAUAAUUCACAUCAAAAAACAGGACCAGUUCAAGUACAGAGAAUUUAUCGACAAGCUACUGUAUAAGCUUGCUUUCUGGAAGAGUUAAUCUAAGCUGCAUAGAUGAGCUACAAGCAGAAUAAGACGUCUUCUAAGACGCCAUAGAUAAAUUGCAGGUGGUGAUAAAAAACAUCUCUUCUAUGUGAAGUCCAAGUUGAGUUCAUUAACUGCACGGUUUGGUCAUUUCAAAGGGGUGCAGGCCUGUCUGUAAAUAUUGACUGCUAGCUUGCUGACGUAUUUUUGCUGGAAAAAGACUACAUUUUGAUAAAAUACUUAAAUUUGUUCAUUGCACAAUUUGGAUUGUGUGUUUUGCAAUUUGUAAAUGUGACAGCUUUGCGAUAAUUCUUAAGAUAAGAGUGUUUGUAAAGGUAAAAAUUGUUGAGGUCGAGGUGAUGGGAUUUGGAUGUUGAGUUUUCCUGUUGAUCUGGUUUGGUCACAGUUGUAGGUUCUAUGGAACCAAUUUCUCCUUUGAAGAAUACAAGGUGUAAAAUGUGGAAUUACUUGUUGUAACUACUCUAGUCUGAUUGCCUUU